rnacentral:rRNA from 1 species
GCGUGCGUGAAGAAGGCCUUAGGGUUGUAAAGCGCUUUCGGCGGGGAAGAUGAUGACGGUACCCGCAGAAGAAGCCCCGGCUAACUCCGUGCCAGCAGCCGCGGUAAUACGGAGGGGGCUAGCGUUGUUCAGAAUUACUGGGCGUAAAGGGCGCGUAGGCGGAACGUCAAGUCAGAGGUGAAAGGCCUGGGCUCAACCUGGGAACUGCCUUUGAAACUGCCGUUCUAGAGUCCGAUAGAGGAUGGCGGAAUUCCCAGUGGAGAGGUGAAAUUCGU